rnacentral:lncRNA from 1 species
AAAUAAAAAUGACUAAAAUAGCACUUAAUGUUUUAUCAAAAGAGAUAAAUAUACACUUAUACCUCAAUGGUAAAUUAAUUUAGACAUUAGGGUUUAGAGUUAAGGGGUGAGAUUUAAGAUUUAGGAUUUAGAGUUCAGAGUUUAGGGUUUAGAGUUUAGGGUUUAGGGUUUAGAGUUGGGGAGUGAGAUUUUAGGAUAAGAUUUCAAAUUUUGAAAAAUAAAAAAAUUUAAAUUUUUCAAAAGAUAAAAUGUUAUUUUGGUCAUUUUAGUUUUUGAGG